rnacentral:rRNA from 1 species
UACAGAGGGUGCAAGCGUUGUUCGGAAUUACUGGGCGUAAAGCGUGCGUAGGCGGUUUGUUAAGUCUGUCGUGAAAGCCCUGGGCUCAACCUGGGAAUUGCGAUGGAUACUGGCAAGCUAGAGUACGGUAGAGGAUGGUGGAAUUCCCGGUGUAGCGGUGAAAUGCGUAGAGAUCGGGAGGAACACCCGUGGCGAAGGCGGCCAUCUGGACCAGUACUGACGCUGAGGCACGAAAGCGUGGGGAGCAAACAGG